AUAGUAAUCUGGUUGAUCCUGCCAGUAGUCAUAUGCUUGUCUUAAAGACUAAGCCAUGCAUGUCUAAGUAUAAGUUAUAUACAGCGAAACUGCGAAUGGCUCAUUAAAACAGUUAUAGUUUAUUCGAUUAUUUUCUUCUACAUGGAUAACCGUAGUAAUUCUAGAGCUAAUACAUGCUGUCAAACCUGACUUUUCGGAAGGGUUGUAUUUAUUAGAUAUUAAACUAACCCUGGCAACAGGAUAGUGAUGAUUCAUAAUAACUGAGCGGAUCGCGGCCUCGCCGCGACGAAUCGUUCAAGUUUCUGCCCUAUCAGCUUUCGAUGGUAGUGUAUUGGACUACCAUGGCGAUCACGGGUAACGGGGAAUUAGGGUUCGAUUCCGGAGAGGGAGCCUGAGAAAUGGCUACCACAUCUAAGGAAGGCAGCAGGCGCGUAAAUUACCCAAUCCUAAUUCAGGGAGGUAGUGACAAGAAAUAACAACUCGGGCCUCUAUUGGGGUUGCGAGAUUGCAAUGAGAACAAUUUAAACCACUUAUCGAGUAACAAUUGGAGGGCAAGUCUGGUGCCAGCAGCCGCGGUAAUUCCAGCUCCAAUAGCGUAUAUUAAAGUUGUUGCAGUUAAAAAGCUCGUAGUUGAAUUUCUGGCCGGCGCUGUUCUCGGCUCUCGCAGUCGGUUCAGGAGCCUGGUCAUCCGUAUGGGAAGCUAGCACGUCCUUCAGUGGUCGGCUAGUGGAUCAUACACUUUACUUUGAAAAAAUUAGAGUGUUUCAGGCAGGCAAUUGCUUGGAUACUGCAGCAUGGAAUAAUGGAAUAGGACUUUGACCUAUUUGUUGGUUUCUUGAGGUCAAAGUAAUGAUUAAUAGGGACAGUUGGGGGCAUCCGUAUUUAAUUGUCAGAGGUGAAAUUCUUGGAUUUAUUAAAGACGAACUUAUGCGAAAGCAUUUGCCAAGGAUGUUUUCAUUAAUCAAGAACGAAAGUUAGGGGAU
rnacentral:rRNA from 1 species